rnacentral:misc_RNA from 1 species
UCUCCGUCGGUGAACCAGCGGAGGGAUCAUUAUCGAGUUUAUAACUCCCAAACCCUAUGUGAACUUACCACUUGUUGCUUCGGCGCGCGCUUCGGUGCCGCCGAGGACACUUAAACUCUUUGUUUUUAUAAGCAUUUCUGAGUGGCCGAAAGGCAAAAUACAAAUGAAUCAAAACUUUCAACAACGGAUCUCUUGGUUCUGGCAUCGAUGAAGAACGCAGU